GGACAACCUUCCGAAAGGGAGGCUAAUCCCGCGUAUAUCGGUUUCGGGCAUCCGAGAUCGAGGAAAGAUUCAUCGGAAGAGGAUGGGCAUGCGGCGCAUUAGCUAGACGGCGGGGUAACGGCCCACCGUGGCGACGAUGCGUAGGGGUUCUGAGAGGAAGGUCCCCCACACUGGUACUGAGACACGGACCAGACUCCUACGGGAGGCAGCAGUGAGGAAUAUUGGUCAAUGGGAGAGAUCCUGAACCAGCCAAGCCGCGUGAGGGAAGACGGCCCUAUGGGUUGUAAACCUCUUUUGUCGGAGAACAAAACCCGGGACGUGUCCCGGACUGCGUGUAUCCGAAGAAAAAGCAUCGGCUAACUCCGUGCCAGCAGCCGCGGUAAUACGGAGGAUGCGAGCGUUAUCCGGAUUUAUUGGGUUUAAAGGGUGCGUAGGCGGUUCGUUAAGUCAGCGGUAAAAUUGCGGGGCUCAACCCCGUCGAGCCGUUGAAACUGGCAGACUUGAGUUGGCGAGAAGUACGCGGAAUGCGCGGUGUAGCGGUGAAAUGCAUAGAUAUCGCGCAGAACUCCGAUUGCGAAGGCAGCGUACCGGCGCCAGACUGACGCUGAGGCACGAAAGCGUGGGGAUCGAACAGGAUUAGAUACCCUGGUAGUCCACGCAGUAAACGAUGAAUGCUGGUUGUCCGGGUCGAAUGAGAUCUGGGC
rnacentral:rRNA from 1 species